GACGAACGCUGGCGGCGUGCUUAACACAUGCAAGUCGAGCGGGGAGUUGGCUUUCGGGCUAACUUCUAGCGGCGGACGGGUGAGUAACGCGUGAGCAACCUUUCCUCUACUGGGGAAUAACACCGGGAAACUGGUACUAAUACCGCAUGAGACCACAGAGUCGCAUGGCUUAGGGGUCAAAGAUUUAUUGGUAGAGGGUGGGCUCGCGUCUGAUUAGGUAGUUGGUGAGGUAACGGCCCACCAAGCCGACGAUCAGUAGCCGACCUGAGAGGGUGAUCGGCCACAUUGGGACUGAGACACGGCCCAAACUCCUACGGGAGGCAGCAGUGGGGAAUAUUGGGGCAAUGGGGGAAACCCUGACCCAGCAACGCCGCGUGGAGGAAGAAGGUUUUCGGAUCGUAAACUCCUGUCCUCAGGGAAGAGCAGAAGACGGUACCUGAGGAGGAAGCCCCGGCUAACUACGUG
rnacentral:rRNA from 1 species